UACGUAGGGGGCUAGCGUUUGUCCGGAAUCAUUGGGCGUAAAGAGCGCGUAGGCGGCUGGAAUAGUCCGGUGUGAAAUCCACAGGCUUAACCUGUGAAUGCCGCUGGAAACUGUCUGGCUAGAGUCCGGAAGGGGCGAGUGGAAUUCCUGGUGUAGCGGUGAAAUGCGCAGAUAUCAGGAGGAACACCAGUGGCGAAGGCGACUACCUGGCCCAUUCUUGACGCUGAGGCGCGAAAGCUAGGGGAGCGAACGGG
rnacentral:rRNA from 1 species